rnacentral:sRNA from 1 species
GACAGUGCCCUGCAGACUGGUUGGAGGUCUCAGGCAGGCCACACACUGAAUCCGUCAAGGUGUUCAACCUGUUUGAAAUGCUCGGUGCUGUAAAGAAAUAGAACUUGAACUUAAAUUUAAUUUAUUUAGUAAGACCAUUUUUAUUUCCUGCAGAAAGGGUACACUCGCCAGCAGUUUUGCCAGGAGAGUACACUGAACAAAGGAGACAGGGUCAUUUAUAACGUGGUGCGUCCACCCUACUGCUGUGUCCGGUUUCCAUUGGCUGGAACGGGACAUCACAUUCUGUAUUUGUCCCCAUUGACUAGCAACAUAGAACUUUUUAAAAGAGGCAAAGGCAGAGGAGAACAAAGGAAGAAGGAAGUAACUUGUGGAAUGCUGAGAAAGGCAGCUUGGAUUAAUUAGGAGAAAGUCAAUUGCACCAGCAAAUGGAAAUCUAGGAAGAAGGAAAUCCAUUGUUUGACUACUUAAUUGUCAUUGAUUUUGAAUCGACAUGCUGGAAUGAUGGGAAGCACCACCAUAGCCAGGAAAUAAGUAAGUCU